UCGAACGGGAACAGAAUGAAACCUAGUGAUUUUUGUUUUAGUGGCGGACGGGUGAGUAACGCGUGGGUAACCUGCCGUAUACAGGGGGAUAACACUUAGAAAUAGGUGCUAAUACCGCAUAAGCGCACAGCUUCGCAUGGAGCAGUGUGAAAAGCGUAAACGGUAUACGAUGGACCCGCGUCUGAUUAGCUAGUUGGCGGGGUAGAGGCCCACCAAGGCGACGAUCAGUAGCCGGCCUGAGAGGGUGACCGGCCACAUUGGGACUGAGACACGGCCCAAACUCCUACGGGAGGCAGCAGUGGGGAAUAUUGCACAAUGGGGGGAACCCUGAUGCAGCGACGCCGCGUGAGUGAAGAAGUAUUUCGGUAUGUAAAGCUCUAUCAGCAGGGAAGAAAAAAGACGGUACCUGACUAAGAAGCCCCGGCUAACUACGUGCCAGCAGCCGCGGUAAUACGUAGGGGGCAAGCGUUAUCCGGAUUUACUGGGUGUAAAGGGAGCGUAGACGGCAUAGCAAGUCUGAAGUGAAAGCCCGUGGCUCAACCGCGGAACUGCUUUGGAAACUGUUAAGCUGGAGUACUGGAGAGGCAAGCGGAAUUCCUAGUGUAGCGGUGAAAUGCGUAGAUAUUAGGAGGAACACCAGUGGCGAAGGCGGCUUGCUGGACAGAGACUGACGUUGAGGCUCGAAAGCGUGGGGAGCAAACAGGAUUAGAUACCCUGGUAGUCCACGCGGUAAACGAUGAAUGCUAGGUGUUGGCGGGCAAAGCCCGUCGGUGC
rnacentral:rRNA from 1 species